AUUUGAUUUAGAAUGUACAGUGUUAUCCAAGGAGCUCCGAAAAUUGGCGGGCAGGCAGCCAAAGUAGAGCUGAUCCACUCGCCUGAAAUAAUGGCGUGUUCAUCGAUGGUUGUGUUGGCACAACGUGCCUUCUCUUUUCGGUCAUUGACAUAUUGCCUAUACCCUCGAUAGGACGACCUAAGUAGAUUCGGUUAUACUCUCCGAUUAUGUGAUGUGUUGCCCAUCUCUUCUUGUUACCUGCGCAAAUGUGGGACUAAAUUCAAUUUAAUUUCAACUUUGCAAAUGUGACAAAUCCUACUCCCGUGAAUUUCUUCCCUACCCUUCAUACAGUUUCCACUCUAUUUAUGAAAUCAGCAGGGAAAAGAAGAAGCAGAAACAGUGCGGCACAUGAAAAAUGGCUGUACCGGAGCUCUAACACAGGUUUCAUAUUCGUAUGGCUAAACACUAGAAAAAAGAGGUUUUCCAUGGUUGUAAACCAUGACUUGAUUCACAGAGAAUUUGCGUUUCCAGGUGUGUUGAAAUAAUCUAGGAGGGUUCUUGAGAAGACUACAUGCAAUCUUAACAAAGGGAUACAAUUCAUUGACACAUGGAUCAUAGGAAACAGAAAACUGAGUACCCAAGCACUGGACAAACUACGAUGACGGUAGAAUUAUUGUCUCUUUGUGAUGGAAAAGAGGGCAUUGCAAAGGCUACCAGGUAUAUCUGUUCGGAUAGUUCACAAAAAAAUGAUUUAAAUGGACAGCGUAUGUUUUUAAAGUUGGCAGAGGCUAACAUUGACAGAGAUUGAAAGCAACUGGUUGGUUCCACUUUCCAUUUCCUCAAUUUCAUUUUUUAGUCACAAUGAUGCACUCUAUAUUUACCAUUCAGCAUAAUCUCAUAUGACUGAUAACUUGUGCAGAAUUUCGUAUCUUUAGAGUGAAAUAAUAAUUUAUUAUGGAAAGCUACUGUAAAUAAAAAUGCAUACAAUUCUAACUUGCAUGGAGAUGAGGUACCUAUGAUUCGAAAAUUUUGAAAAAAAAAGAUACCCUUUUCUAUAUAUGUAUAUUCAAUUGUACAAAUGACCAACAUGUAAGUUUCUUGUAAAUCUAAAAUUUUGGAAAAAAAAACAAGAUACCCUUUUCUUUAUAUGUAUUUUCACAUGUACAAAUGACAAACAUGUAAGUUUCUUGUAAGGAAAGAGGUUGGAGUGAGCUCUCAGGUCCCAGGGAAAUGAACAGUCACCCUCCAUUGAUGACCUGCUUCGAAUUUGCUCUGGCCUUUUGCAUCUUCUUUGUUCCUUUGGCUGGCCUUGGAUCAUUCUUAGUUCUCUUUGGGGGGCUUUGGGAAGUAUUGGUUUAUGUUUUGCAUUUCCUUUCCUGCACUAGGUUUAGGUGCCUUUUUUUUUUGAUAAUAUCCGGUGCGUUGCGGUCAGGGCAUUUAUUGCCCGGGCAAGGUGGUAUCUCUGGGGAACAACCCGAGGUACAUAGGGAUCAAGACAAUGGUAUUGUAAAUAACAAAACUUUCAAGGAGGUGGUGUUGGGAGCGAGCAGAAUGGGUUCCAGAUUCAGUCAGGUUUGAUGUGAGCAUGGAUGGAGCACUCUGUGAAAGUGGAGAAGCCGGAGGCAAGUUCCAAACGGUGAUAUGCUUGAGGGGUCAAAGGUUUAUAAUCAAAGCUUUCUGUAGAAUAUCCCUGAAAAAAAAAUGUCUGCGUCUGAGUUCAGAACACCUGCUCUACAUCUUCUGUUGUUCCAAGCAGAGUAAUGUGGAAAAAUUAGGGGAAUUCAACCUUAUUGUUUCGUAGCUUGGCAUAAGCUCCUAUGGCCACUGCAUUUGAAAUAUCUUGCCAACCCUGCGUACAGCCACAAUCUGAUACAGAGGCACGUGAAUUGUUUGACAAAAUGUUGAAUGAGUGCAGCACAGGGAGGCGUCUCACACAAGGUUUUUGAAAAGUAAUAUUGAUAAAUGUGCACAAAUAGUGUAGAAUCUGACAACAGUCUCUACCCUUGACAAUCUUUAUAAAGAGAUAUCCUCAUGCUAUUUGUAGUAGUGUGUCAAGACUGAUUUCUAUUGAGCUGAGAAAGACCUCUAACAGAGGCACGAUGUACUCCAGUUUUGAAUUGAAUUAAAAAA